UGAUGACGUCAUAGGAGGUGUAGCGCUUGCAAACAUUGGCUAAUGCUAAUGCUAGCUUAGAUGUAUGUUUGUUUGCAGGGGGGAUCUGUGUUUGUCAUGGCCUUCUCAAUAACAUUUACUUUUAUUCUGACAGUUUUGUCAAAAGUGACGUGACACUCGAUGGUGGGCUGGAGCGUAUGUUUAUCAAAUGCACUGUUGCCAACUAUCCGGGGAAGUUGCUAGAGAUUUUUAAAUAAUGAGUCAGUAUCCAGCAGGGAAUUACGGAUUCAUCAGCUCCAUCACCAAGAAGACUCAGCAGAGGUUGUUCUUCCAGAGGCAGCUAAAGAAAUUCAACCUGACAAAGACAAUGAUGGUCCACUUCUACACGGCCAUCAUCGAGUAAUCCUCUGCUCCUCAAUCCCCGUCUGGUACGCUGCAGCCAAGGACAAGGGCAGGCUGCAGCGUGUCAUCCGCUCUGCAGAGAGGGUGAUUGGCUGCAAUCUGCCGUCUCUCCAGGACUUGUUCGCUUCCAGGACCCUGAAGCAAGCUAAAAAGAUUGUAGCCGACCCGUCACCCCGGACAAAAACGGUUUGUGCCUCUUCCAUCUGGCAGGAGGCUGAGGUCCAUCAGGACGAAGACCUCCCGCCACACAAACAGUUUCUUCCCGUCGGCAGUCGGGUUCAUCAACAGAGCCCAGUCCCCCACUGACUGACUCUGAUAUCCCACCGGUCAC
ensembl:lncRNA